rnacentral:ncRNA from 1 species
AUGUCUUCAAGGCAAACCUGCCGGAAGGCAGCGGCGCAAAGCUAAAGGGGCCCAUUCUAAGAAGAAGGCCAGCCAGUUGCACGU